CGGACGGGUGAGUAGCACGUGGGUAACCUACCUAUAAGACUGGGACAACUUCGGGAAACCGUAGCUAAUACCGGAUAAGAUAUCGAACCGCAUGGUUCGAUAGUGAAAGAUGGUUUUGCUAUCACUUAUAGAUGGACCCGCGCCGUAUUAGCUAGUUGGUGAGGUAACGGCUCACCAAGGCAACGAUACGUAGCCGACCUGAGAGGGUGAUCGGCCACACUGUAACUGAGACACGGUCCAGACUCCUACGGGAGGCAGCAGUC
rnacentral:rRNA from 1 species